rnacentral:rRNA from 1 species
GACGAACGCUGGCGGCGUGCUUAACACAUGCAAGUCGAACGGAAAGGCCCUGCUUUUGUGGGGUGCUCGAGUGGCGAACGGGUGAGUAACACGUGAGUAACCUGCCCUUGACUUUGGGAUAACUUCAGGAAACUGGGGCUAAUACCGGAUAGGAGCGCCUGCUGCAUGGUGGGGGUUGGAAAGUUUCGGCGGUUGGGGAUGGACUCGGGGCUUAUCAGCUUGUUGGUGGGGUAGUGGCUUACCAAGGCUUUGACGGGUAGCCGGCCUGGGAGGGUGACCGGCCACAUUGGGACUGAGAUACGGCCCAGACUCCUACGGGAGGCAGCAGUGGGGAAUAUUGCACAAUGGGCGGAAGCCUGAUGCAGCAACGCCGCGUGCGGGAUGACGGCCUUCGGGUUGUAAACCGCUUUCGCCUGUGACGAAGCGUGAGUGACGGUAAUGGGUAAAGAAGCACCGGCUAACUACGUG